GACUCUUUCCUUCUGCCUGGGCCCUGACAAAAAAGGGGAUUGGAGUGUGUCACUUGACCCAACACCUAGGGGUGAUGUGACUGUCUUAUUUGCCUGCACCUUGCAUAUAUCGGGUAUUGAGUCCUAUGGCUGAGCCCUACAUGAAUGGGAUUUAAGACUCCUGCCUUGGCCCUGCCAACAGGGGGCAUUGUAAAGUAUCCCUGCAUCUGUCACUGAGAUGUGACUCUCCUGUUCUGCCUGCAUCCUGCCUAUAAGGAAGAUUGUGACAUAUUGCUGGGUCCACGAUUGAGACAAUGUGUCUUUCCUGCCUGGGUAUUGCCUACAGGGAGCAUUGUGACAUAUCACUGGGCCCAGCAUGCAGGUAUUGUGACUCUGCUUUCUUUGCCCUGAUUUCCAGAAGGAAUUGUGACAUUUCCCUGGCCUGGUACCCAGAUGAUGUGACUCUCCUGGUGCCAGUCCUCAGGGAAUAUUGUAACACGUCUUUUUCCCAGCACCCAGAUGCAGUAUGCAGCUGAAUUUUUGACUCUCACAUGUGAACAUCCAGCCACAGUUGAAAUGGCAACUUAUUUUUAAAUCCAGGUCAUAGGUUCUGCCCACAAGGGAGAUUUUGACUUAUUGCUGUCCUCAAAAUGAAGGUGAUGUGACACUUUUGCCUUGCACCCACCCUUGAAGACAUUGUGACAUAUUUCUUAGCUCAGCAUCAAAACGAUGUGUCUUCUUAGUAGACUCUGCCAACAUGGGGCAUUGUGACAUAUCUCUGGGCCCAUCAACUAUUUGAUGUAACUCUCUUCUCUUACAUGGACUUUGCUCACAGAAGAGACUAUGAAAUAUCUCUGGGCCCAGCAAAUAGGUGAUGUGACUCUUCUCUACUGCUUGGGCUCUGCUCAUGAGAAAAUUGUGAUGGAUUGCUGAACCCAGCACCUAGGUAAUGUAACUCUCUUCUCUUGCCUGGGCCCGGCAUAAAUUGUGUAUUGUGACAUGGGGCUCGAUCAUAAACCUAGGUAAUGCUACUCUCUUGCAUUGGCUCUGCCCACCGGGGUAUUAUGACACAACUUUUCAUUCAUCGCCUAGGCGAUGUGACCCCCCCUUCUGCUUGAAUCUUGCCAAAAGAGGAAAUGAUGACAUAUCACUAUACUCAGCACCUAGGUGCCAUGACUUGCCUUUUUCCCCAGGCAAUGCAUAUAUUGGGAAUUAUGACAUAUCACUGGACCCAACAUGUAGGGAAUAAAAGACUCCUGCCUGUGUUCUGCUGACCUAGAA